rnacentral:rRNA from 1 species
GAACGCUAGCGACAGGCCUAACACAUGCAAGUCGAGGGGCAGCACAAGGAGCAAGUCUGAGGUGGCGACCGGCGCACGGGUGAGUAACACGUAUGCAACCUGCCUGUAAGCGGGGAAUAACCCGUUGAAAGACGGACUAAUACCGCAUAAUACUAAAUUACUGCAUGGUAAUUUAUUUAAACAUUUAUGGCUUACAGAUGGGCAUGCGCAUGAUUAGCUAGUUGGAGAGGUAACGGCUCCCCAAGGCAACGAUCAUUAGGGGUUCUGAGAGGAAGGUCCCCCCACACUGGUACUGAGACACGGACCAGACUCCUACGGGAGGCAGCAGUGAGGAAUAUUGGUCAAUGGACGAGAGUCUGAACCAGCCAAGUCGCGUGCAGGAAGAAUGUCCUAUGGAUUGUAAACUGCUUUUGCAGGGGAAUAAAGUGCAUCACGUGUGAUGUUUUGUAUGUACUCUGCGAAUAAGGAUCGGCUAACUCCGUGCCAGCCGCCGC